GACGAACGCUGGCGGCGUGCCUAACACAUGCAAGUCGAACGGAGUAGAGAGCUUCGGUUUUCUACUUAGUGGCGAACGGGUGAGUAACGCGUGAGGAACCUGCCUCUCAGUGGGGGACAACAGUUGGAAACGACUGCUAAUACCGCAUAAUGUAGCGAGACCGCAUGGUCAUGCUACCAAAGAUUUAUUGCUGAAAGAUGGUCUCGCGUCUGAUUAGCUAGUUGGUGAGGUAACGGCUCACCAAGGCGACGAUCAGUAGCCGGUCUGAGAGGAUGAACGGCCACAUUGGGACUGAGAUACGGCCCAGACUCCUACGGGAGGCAGCAGUGGGGGAUAUUGCACAAUGGGCGAAAGCCUGAUGCAGCGACGCCGCGUGAGGGAAGAC
rnacentral:rRNA from 1 species